GAAAUUGAGGUUCAAAGUGUGCCACUCAAAAGGAAGUUUAUGUGGGAAAAAUGAAGUUGUCCCACAUAGGAAAAAGAUGAAAAACUCUAAAGGUCAUUGCCAUUAAUGGUAGCCUAACCUAUAAAUAGUGGCUCAUUUUCCUCAUUUCAACACACCAAAGCAAAAGUUUUCAAGUUUAGAAUACACAAGAAAUUCAUUUGUAUAGAGUUCUGUCUUUUC
rnacentral:lncRNA from 1 species